GAAUGUUUCAGAGUGAUAAUGUCAGCGAAUAGGAAUCAUACUGAAACGGUUACUGGCGAGUACGACAUCAUUGCAAGUACGAGUCACUUUUAAAAUGAAGAUAGCCAGUCUCUACCUGGUAUGGAUAGUGACCUUCAUUGUACAAGUUGGCAUGGUGUCCAACACCAGACGUGUCCGAACAUUCACAUUGUUCAAGCAGAAAUACACCUGGAAUGAAGCUCAAGAUGUUUGUGAUCAAUUUGGACAAAAUAUGCUGACCAUCAAGAAUCCGGAAGAGGUG